GGGGACAGGGAUACUGGAGUGAUGGAGGUAGAUAUGUAUAGGGGGAAGGGGACAGGGAUACUGGAGAGAUGGAGGUAGAUAUGUAUAGGGGACAGGGAUACUGGAGUGAUGGAGGUAGAUAUGUAUAGGGGACAGGGAUACUGGAGUGAUGGAGGUAGAUAUGUAUAGGGGGAAGGGGACAGGGAUACUGGAGUGAUGGAGGUAGAUAUGUAUAGGGGGAAGGAGACAGGGAUACUGGAGUGAUGGAGGUAGAUAUGUAUAGGGGGAAGGGGACAGGGAUACUGGAGUGAUGGAGGUAGAUAUGUAUAGGGGGAAGGGGACAGGGAUACUGGAGUGAUGGAGGUAGAUAUGUAUAGGGGGAAGGAGACAGGGAUACUGGAGUGAUGGAGGUAGAUAUGUAUAGGGGACAGGGAUACUGGAGUGAUGGAGGUAGAUAUGUAUAGGGGACAGGGAUACUGGAGUGAUGGAGGUAGAUAUGUAUAGGGGGAAGGGGACAGGGAUACUGGAGUGAUGGAGGUAGAUAUGUAUAGGGGGAAGGGGACAGGGAUACUGGAGUGAUGGAGGUAGAUAUGUAUAGGGGACAGGGAUACUGGAGUGAUGAAG
rnacentral:lncRNA from 1 species